rnacentral:rRNA from 1 species
GAUGAACGCUAGCGAUAGGCUUAACACAUGCAAGUCGAGGGGCAGCAUGGUCUUAGCUUGCUAAGACUGAUGGCGACCGGCGCACGGGUGCGUAACGCGUAUGCAACUUGCCUCACAGAGGGGGAUAACCCGUCGAAAGACGGACUAAUACCGCGUACACUUGGGAUAGGGCAUCCUGACCCAAGGAAAUGAAAUUCGCUGUGAGAUAGGCAUGCGUCCCAUUAGCUAGUUGGUGAGGUAACGGCUCACCAAGGCGACGAUGGGUAGGGGAACUGAGAGGUUGAACCCCCACACUGGUACUGAGACACGGACCAGACGCCUACGGGAGGCAGCAGUGAGGAAGAUUGGUCAAUGGGCGAGAGCCUGAACCAGCCAAGUCGCGUGAAGGAUGACUGUCUUAUGGAUUGUAAACUUCUUUUAUACGGGAAUAACAAGAGCCACGUGUGGCUCCCUGCAUGUACCGUAUGAAUAAGCAUCGGCUAACUCCGUG